UUAAAUAUUAACUUUAACUUUAGUUUAUAUGUAAAUUUUUGUAAGUCUUAUUUUCUAAAAGGUAAUAAGAGUUAAGGAUUAGUUUGCAGUAAAUAAUUUUAUUUAUAUUAAGGUAAAUUAGAUUUGGUAAAGGUUAUAAAGAAUUGGAUAAUUUUGUGCCAGCAUCCGCGGUUAUACAGAAGAUUCAAGAUAAUAGUUUUGGGUUAAAAUAAUUAUUUAUUAAAGAUAUUUUGGAAUUAAUUUAUUAUGAAGUGAAAUAUAAAUAAUAUUUUGGGUAAAAUAAUUUAAGGGAAAAAUUGUUAUGAAAAUGAAAAUAUAAACUAGGAUUAGAUACCCUAUUAUUUUUAUUGUAAAAGUUUAAAACCUGAGUAGUAAUAGUUAUGGUCUUGAAACUUAAAGAAUUUGGCGGUAUUAUAGUCUAUUUAGAGGAAUCUGUUAUGUAAUUGAUAAUCCACAUUGAACCUUACUUAUAUUAUUUCUUGUAUACCGCUGUUUAUGAAAAUAUUUUAAGAUAAAUAUUCUUAAUGUUGAAUUAAACGUUAUUUCAAGUCAAGGUGCAGUAAUAUAUAAGUUGAAUAAUGGAUUACAAUAAAUUUUAUUUAUUAACGGAUAAAUUAUUUAAAAAUAAAUUUUGAAGGUGGAUUUAAUUGUAAUUUUUUGAAGACUGUAAAAAUGAUUUUAGCUCUGUAAUAUGUACAUAUCGCCCGUCACUCUCGUUAUUAAAUGAGAUAAGUCGUAACAGAGUAGGUGUAUUGGAAAAUGUACCUAGUAAGAGUAGUA
rnacentral:ncRNA from 1 species